CUUGAACCACUUUUCUUGAACACUAAAUUUGACUGAGUGUCCUUAGAACCAGGGAAAAGGCAGAAGUAGUGGAUUUCAGAAUUCUUAGCAUCUCAUAGAAUAAAAUAGCAAUUUUUUCAAAUGAGACAUACUUUUCCCUACCUUUUUUAAUUAUAAAAGUAAUUAAUUGUAAAUAUUAGAGGACAAAGUCACAACCAUUAAAUUUAUUGGCAUUUUAGUCAUCUUUCUUUGACUUUAAUCUUAAUGUUUCUCAGAUGUCCAUAAGAAUAGUCAUCUGGUCACAUAAGCAUUAAUAACCAUGUUCCUGGCUUUAUAUUUCCCCUUUAGGGUAUUUUAGGUACUAUAGCUGGUCUGGUUGGAGAGUUCUGCCUUGCCUAGGAUGUCAACCCCAGUUUGUUGCCUGAGAUGCAAACUGGCAGGGUCCUGCUUCUGGUCCCUAUGCCCUGUUGGCCUCUCUGUGUGCCACAUGGACACCAGGAGAAUUUAGUCUCCUAGCUGAUAGUGUGCUGUGACCUGGGUCCAUAGUGUUUCUUGUAAAUCAUGUUUGUCUUCUCUUUUCUGUCCCUCUUUCUUCUUUCCCUCUAUCACCUUCAUUCCCUUUACUGUUAGGACUAUAUAUUAAGUAGUGCACAAAACAAAGAGACCCUGCCCUGUGCAACUUGUAGACCAGAAGGGGAGACAAACAUGAAUUAAAUGGUUACACAGAUAACUGACAAGUGUAACAAAGGAAAGGUAUAUGGCAUUAAUGAAAGCCUAUGACUUAUCAGGACCACCUCUACACACACACAAUGCUUUCAUUGUCACAAAAAAAAUUUACAAUGCCUUUCAGUGCUCUUCAGUGAUUGCAUAACAGUUCAUCUGGAUCAUUUGCCACAUUUUACGUAAACAUUCCUCUUGUCCUUGGACAUUAAUGUUACUUCCAGUUUAUUUCCAAUUGUGAAUAGUUUGAAAUUGGCCUUGUGUAUAAUUUUUUUUUCAUGUGUGGUAACUUACUUAGAUUAGGUUUCCAGAAAUCAAAUUAUUAGGACGUUGGCUUUUAAUAAAAUAUGUGAUUAGAUUUUUCAAAAUUAGAGGCCCUAAAAUAUUAAACUCUAUAGGAAGUUUUUUUUUGUAAGUUUGAAAAUAACAGAUGUUAUGAAACAUUGGAGCUCUUCACUGAGAAUUUUACAGCAAUUGCAAAAAGUUUUCAUAUGACUGCUUCAGUUAACUGUCAAAGCUGAGGGUCCAGAAUUAAAGGGAACUAAAUAAGUAAAGACAGUUCUAUAGAGUUAUAAGCAAACAAAGACUAGACUUCUGGUAUUCUAAUGUGAUAGUCUUUGUGUUGAAGAUCUCUGAGGGAAAAGGCUAGAAAACAUUUUUAUUCUAUAUUACUCCAGGCUCUGAAUAGAAUAGCAGCUGGAUACAUUUUCUGCAAAAUUGUAUAGCUGCUUAUUGUCAUGCUGGCCAAAGAAGCCCAGCUGGUUCAGAUGCUAGAUGAAUAAGCAGCAAGCAAAGUUGACAUUCUAUUAUAUGAAUGUCUUUUCUGGAAUAAGAGCCAGGUGGGAAGUGAGCAAAUGUUUUUUCAGUCCCCAUAUCACAGCUUUGGAACUACUCAGGCAUACUGUUGAAACCCAAGGAGUCCACAUGGCAUUGUUUAUUUCUAUUUGGAUCACGUAUCUUUUGUGUAGCAUCUGAUUUUUGGCAGCCCUGACUUUUUUCCAUGACUAAUAGCAGUAUUAACUGCUAAAUGUACUUCCAGGUAACCUUAAAUUCUUUGUUACAUGGAACUAUUUUGGUUUAUUUUUAAUUUUUUUUUUGCAGUGCUGGGGAUGGAACCCAAGACCUUGUGCAUGCCCAACAAGCACCUACCACUGAGCCACGUCCCCAGCCCAUGGGAUCAUUUUAAUGUUUAUUCAUUUAUUUGUAGACGGACACAAUACCUUUAUUUUAUUUUUUUAAUGUGGUGCUGAGGAUUGAACCCAAU
rnacentral:lncRNA from 1 species